GACAGAGGGUGCAAACGUUGCUCGGAAUUACUGGGCGUAAAGCGCGUGUAGGUGGUCUGAUCAGUCGGAUGUGAAAGCCCUGGGCUCAACCCGGGAAGUGCAUUCGAUACUGCCAGACUGGAGUCUUGAAGAGGAGAGCGGAAUUCCCGGUGUAGAGGUGAAAUUCGUAGAUAUCGGGAGGAACACCAGUGGCGAAGGCGGCUCUCUGGGCAAUGACUGACACUGAGACGCGAAAGCGUGGGAAGCAAACAGG
rnacentral:rRNA from 1 species